rnacentral:rRNA from 1 species
UACGGGGGGAGCAAGCGUUGUUCGGAUUUACUGGGCGUAAAGGGCGCGUAGGCGGCGCAACAAGUCACUUGUGAAAUCUCCGGGCUUAACCCGGAGCGGCCAAGUGAUACUGUCGUGCUAGAGUGCGGAAGGGGCUACUGGAAUUCUCGGUGUAGCGGUGAAAUGCGUAGAUAUCGAGAGGGACACCUGCGGCGAAGGCGGGUAGCUGGGCCGACACUGACGCUGAGGCGCGAAGGCCAGGGGAGCAAACGGG